CACGCUGCGUGUCAAAGUACAGUGGGUGAGUGCCAUUAAUUUUUUAAUGUCCUUGUCCCCAAAAUUUGUAUGAAGACUCGUUUCCCUUUUUGCCUUUUUCUUGGCCUCUGCUCUUUUAUGAUUAUUACUUGAAGUUUUCCAGGGUAAAUUGGUUUUUAGUGCAUUUCUACAGCCUACCAAAGCAAAGAACAAAUCAUUAAUCACUUGUAUUUAUUUUUAUUUCUGAUGCCUACUUUUUGGGGUCGCUCUGCUAAGACCUUCGAGUUUUAAUUGCCAAAUCAAAAACGGGCCAGGUCCUCGUCCCUCAACAGGAGCACAAAAUGGUGGAUUAUUGUCAUAGCGUGAGUGGAUACCAUUAGAGCAAACGAGAUCGCACACGUGAGUAAUGCUCUAAAAUUAUAUUUAUUUGGCCUGUGCACUAUGGGUGAAAAGCCCGAUUUUUUGGCAUUAAUCCAAAAAAUAAUGAUAGAAAAAUUGGCAAAAAUGUUCGUUAGACUGAAGUCUUUUGGACCACGCCUAAAUCCCUCCCCCAUACGAACAGAAACCCAUUUACGUCGGAUUUAUUGAAAAAAAGUAUUUAAAAUAUUAAUUAUAAUAACAGAUCCUUUAAAUUUUUUUCCAACUUAAAACAAAUAUAUGAUUGACUGGUUGAGUGAUUGAUUAGUUAAAUAUAAUAUGAUGGUAAUCAUUCCAACGUACGAUUAAUUUCACUUAGCACUUGUUUACCUAAGCAAUAAAUAGGAUAAUUUUGGUUUCAAAUUUAAUAGUUUCAUCUUUAGUUUGACAUUUUUUAUCAAUACUACAAUAAAGUACAACUCCAGCAGAACUCAUAAGCAUCUGCAAAAUUUAAAUUUUUCAGAAAAGGGGCAAAGGCGGGCAAAAAGCAGUAAACCCCCAUGAUUCUAAAUUAUUUAUGGUACUCAGUACAAAUGUUACCCAAAAAAUAUUACAUUAAUGACAAAAAUUUGGGCUUUUUACCCAUAGAGCAUUGGUCUGUUUGUACAGCAUUUUUUACACAACCCAGGCACAUAUAAUUGUGCUUCUAAUAAGAAUUAACAAUUAACUUUUUAUGUGGUCAUGCAUAUUGUUGUACAUAUAAUAAAUGUUUGUUAAUUCCACCUAUCGUUAAUGUUAUUUCCCUUGCUGCCUUCUAAUUACACUUCCCGACUUUUCCGCUUCGAACCAAACUAACUUUCUCUGUAAGAUAUGGUGCUCAGAAAUGGCUUGAUAAUACUUAUUAUACCCCGUACUCGAAGAGUAGAGAAGGAAACGUUUCCGACCCCAUAAAGUAUAUAUAUUCUUGAUCAGCAUCAAUAACCGAGUCGAUUGAGCCAUGUCUGUCUGUCCAUCCGUCUGUCCGCCCUGAUGAGCGUCUGAGUACUCAGAGACUAUAAGAGCUAAAACCACCAAAUUUUGCAUCCAUACUUCUGUAUGCUCACCCUGUUACAAGUGUAUUUCAAAAAUGAGCCCCGCCCCCUUUCCACCAGGAAAAAGGGUGAAAAACUUACAAUUUUAAAGAUAAAAGAAAUCUAAAACGAAAACGCGAUCCCGUAGGGAAUGACCAUAUCUAUCAGAUCAGCAAAUUGGGAUCCGAUUGGAUCAUUAUUAUAGCCAAAAUGAGGAAAUUAAUUUGCAGUGGCUAAACCCACCCGACACGUAUUUGGUGAUCUAAUAGAUAUGGCAAUUCCCUACGGAAUGGCGUUUUUAAUUUUUUUUUAUCUUCAAAACUGUAGAUUUGGGAGGUUUUCGCCAUUUUGCGGGGGCGUGGCUCAUUUUUGAAAUACACUUGUAACAGUGUGAGCAUACAGAAGUCUGGAUGCAAAAUUUGGUGUCUAUAGCUUUUAUGGUCUCUGAGAUCCAGGCGCUCAACAAGACGGACGGACAGACGGAUGAACAGACAGACAUGGCUCAAUCGACUCGGCUAUUGAUGCUGAUCAAGAAUAUAUAUACUUUAUGGGGUCGGAAACGUUUCCUUCUGUGUGUUACAUAUAACCGUUAUUCGCUCAACAACAAUAUACCCUAUUUACUCUUCGAGUACCAGGUAUAACAAAAAUGUAAAAUUUGACGUAACACCGCUAUGGUGCAGAUCUAGUACUGAGUUAUAAAAGUUGUGACGCGUAAUAAGCGUCUAACACGUCCUUCUCGUUGAAAAUUCAAUAUGGGCAACUUUAUGUCGAGGAAGUAGCUGACAUUUGACCACACUUUUUUAUACGAAAUGUUCUGGUUUGCCGUCAACAUUUGUAGAGUCAGAUCGUGAACAAUUUGGGCUCCGCUAAGGUUUGCUUUGAGUGCUAAGCUUCUUUUACGGCGCUUGUCACGCUCUUGCAGUAAUGAAGGCCCGCCCGAACGAGGUUUUUUCCGUGAUUUUCAGGAUCUUUGACCUGUUUUCGAAUCGCUAAAUAGCUUUCGUUCAGUUUGGUAGCAAAUUGCUAUAGUAGCAUCCCCAUUUCGCGAUUCGUUGCAAUUUUGGCAUGCUCUUCAUUAUAAAUAUAGCGGCUUUGACAUAUUUGAUCGAAAGUAAACUAAUUAUACCCGGUACUCGAAGAGUAAAUAGGGUAUUUAUGUAACGGAUUUAUGUAACGCACAGAAAAACACGUUUCCUACCCCAUAAAGUAUAUAUAUUCUUGAUCAUCGUCAAUAGCCGAGCCGAUAGAGACAUGUCUGUCUGUCCGUCCAGCAGUGUUUUUAUGUUUUUUGUACAUUCUCUUAUUCCACACUCCGUGGAGUGUGCGGCUCCCGGAGCCAGCUAAAAGAGCGUGUUGGCGUAAGAAGUGAUGUAGAUGUAGACGAAAUAUGUAGAAAAAAUAAAAUAUGGCAAAUGUAAAAUUCGAUAUACUAACUGAGUACCGAGUUUAAAUGUUGUGACGCGUAAGAAGCGUUUUCUUCUCGUUUUAAGUUUUGAACGGAACCUAUUUGGACUUUCUACUGAAUUUUGUUGUUGGCAAGAAACAAUAGACCAAACCCAACGAAGAAGAUUUAACAGCAGAUCAUAAGCAUUGUAAGGUGACUUAUUUUGCACACCUUACAAAAAAGACCGAAUAUUGGGACUUCAGACUUAUGUGUCUUUGAACACAAUACCUUAAUUCAUAAAUGGUUUAUUGACAGUGUUACGGGUUGUUGCUUUUACUUAAAUUAAAGUCUUUAUUUUACUAUUAUGAUAAUAGUUCCUGAUUGACUCAGGUGGAUGAACGUCGAAGACAGUAAUCAGAAAAGUUCGGAAAUUGCAGUUAAAAGCUAAUGAGAAAUUUCUCUACAUAAUCUUCAGGGUGGAGAAUGGGUAGAUCACAUCCUGGAAAAGCUCAAGUAACUUUAAAGAUGUUUCUAUAUUUUUCAUAUGCUAAAUAUUUAUUUCCCCAUCCAAUAUAAAAUAAUCCAAUACAGCAGCAGUCACGAAAAACAUGAAAACAGACAUUUGUCUUUGUACAAAUCUACCCAUUCAUAUUGAGUUGGCCUUUUGGCUGGUGACCACUGAUGACCACAAAUAUUGUCCCAGAAAUAACCAAGAUUCACUAACAAAAGAUGUGUGGAGACAGUUCCUGUGAGGAACGAAUGUUCGCGAGACUUAUGAGUAAUGUUGCAGCCAACUUGGGCCCCUUACCAUUUUUGGGCGUGCGUUGUUUCAAAGGACAGAACACGAACCGCAGCUGCGGUGAAGUCUGCUUUCUUUCUGUGCGAGUAGAGUCAAGAGUUUUUGAAUACCAUAGCAGUAAUUGUAUACGGGCAAACAUUUUUGUGAGCAGUGUUUACAGUGCGGUUAAAAAAUAUUCAUGGCGCACAUGGCGUACGAGUGUUGCCCUUUCAGUUGUGCCGCUAUAAAACUUGGCAAAAUGCGGACGCAGUGUCCAUAAAGGCGUGGAAGCCAUCUGAAAGUCAACUUUGUGCUAGUGAGUGGGUGCUGGAGCAUAGCGUUUGGAGAGACAACCACCAUAUUAAAAGCAAGACUUAAACACUUCAUUAUACUUUCUAAUUUCCUUUUUAUACUCUUACAUACCCACUGUGUUUUUUGAACUGCCUUAAUUUUCAGUGUGAGAGAAAUGAUGUAGAUGUAGAUGAUAGAUGUUAUUAUUAGUUUAAAUCAGGGCUUUAUGUGUGAAGACGCACGCAAAACGGAUCAUUUAAAUUUAUUGGUAUUGGUACGAAUCACUGUAAUACGCCUGUACGUCAGCGGCAGCUCCGAGGCAGUAUCUUUUCCUAUGCACAAUAAAUAGGGCGUACCGAGCCCUGCUUUAAAUGCUAACCAGACGGCGAUGGCUUAUAAUACAAAAUUUCCAAGGUAUGUAUGCACAUGUCUACAUACAAGAAUCCAUAUCGAACAGCACCAACCGUAAUAAAUUGCACAAGUCUGAUGUUGUGAAAUUACAGAGAAAUGUUAAACUUGCUUCAGCAUGGUAAUGAGAUACAUACGAGUAUUAGCUCACGGCCGGAGAUGAUGCUUAAGCACGACUUUUUGCAACACGAGCACGUACACACACAUACAGCCUGCGAAGGCCAGAACAGUCAGACCGACAGUGAAAAAUAUGACACCCUAUUUCCGUUUCCCGUACGCUAACAAUAAUGGCAGACAAUAUGGCGCAGCUUACGCUCAGAAGUGAUUGUCACACCAGCCGCCAGCAGACAGCAACUAACCAAAAGUUUCGUUGGAUGCAAAAAAAAAAAAACGAUUAGGAACGUUUGUGAGAUGCUCAUACAAGUCAACACUUUUAUAAAAGGUACUUUUUCACAUUAUAUCAAAAUUCAUAUGCAAGCAUCCUUUUGAGUUUUUCGAAUUUCGCCUCCCUCCCAAAUCAACCACCCACUGCAAAAGGCAGAGUGUGCCGUCGAGAAACAAUAAACAAGCAUAAGAAAAGCUGCUGGACUGGGUGACUUCUCGCUAUAAUAAUGACCUGAGCCGAUCUGAUAAAUAUAGCCAUUCUCUACGGAACUGCGAUUUUAGUUUUCUCUUAUAUUCAAAAUUGUGGAUGUGAGAGAUUUUGGCCCUUUGUGGGGCCUGAAGGGGGAGUGCCGAAAUUUUGAAACACACUUGUAACAGUGGCAGCAUACAGAAGUCUGAAUGCUAAGGUUGCCCUAUCUCUUAUGAUCUCUAAAUAAUAGGUGUUCUCGGCUAUUAAUACUGAUCAAGAAUAUAUACAUAUGUACAUAAAUACAUAUAUACUGUACAGAUAAAUAUAGAUAAAUUAAAUAUAUAUAAAUUGUUCUAGCACAAAUGCAAUAUACCCUAUUUACUUUUCGAGCACCGGGUAUAAAAAAAGGCGCAAAAGUUUAUAUGUCUGGGAUUUUUGUGGUAAUUUUAGGGGAUUUUUCCAGGAAUCCAAAGGGAACAAAAUUUAAGCCCGAAAAAUUAUAUGUAGAGGAGCUAACCCUGUGUAAGUUUCAAAAUUAAUUUUCAUUAAAUGUGGCGCACACAAAACUGUUUUAAAGUGAUUAUGACCGUAGAAAACUAUUCUUCUAAUAUAGAAUCGAGGACUAAGCCACAGGCAGGAGAUGGCGAUGGCAAUGGGAAGUGAAUGUGGAUGCUCCGGGUCUGCGGAUGAGUUGGGAACGGUGGGUGGGUGAUGUGGAUGGGGAUUAACAUGGAAGCUAUAAAAGCAGGCCACGGCUGUUGACAAUGAUGGCGAAUUUAAGGGUAUUAGACAGGCAGCCACAUUAUGGGAUAAGUAAAUACUCGUAUAUAUGUAUAUACAUUUAUGAGUUUGUGUGUGUAUCAGAUUCAGUGGAUGGGUUAAAAAAAUGAGUCGCAAAUGGGGGAGCAGGAGCAUUUGGUCGUCCAACCAUCACUACUCAUAUGCAUGGCCUUAUCAGACACUUUUUAAUAAAUAUAUUUUUAAUUAUGCAUAAAUUAUAAUUAACUACUCGAUUCUGUCUGCUCUCAGCACCAGCAUCCAGGCGAUGGCCGACUGUCAGCCAAGUGGCAGUCGCGUCAUAAAUACAGGACGCGCAUAAUAAGUGUUAAUUAUUAAAUUAAUGCACACGCUAUUGUAGUUCAUACCCAUUUAACAUGCGUAUGUAUUUUAAUUAUGUCUCUAAGUGAUUUACAUUGAUAUUUCGAGCCCAAGUGAGAUUUUCAACAUAUGGAAAAUGCAAGUGCAGAAUAAAAUCAGAAUAGCAAAGACUAAUAAGCUGCACUUCAGAUUGAAAUGGAAUGUGCAAAAUGAAUUGAUCAUUCGCCCAGAUGGUACAAGUACCCACUAUUGAAAAUUCACAUAAAUACAUAUGUAUGUGUAUGGUGGUGAAAUUUUUAAUGACGCUGCAGAUGGGUGUAAUUAUUUAAAAAACCAUAUGCAAUACAAUAUAAAAACCGUUUUCAAUAUAUUAUCUUUACGCGUAGUUGGAUAAAGCUUAACUAUAAGAGACAGUAAAACUACUUUUUAGAUGCAAUUUGAUUCCACUUGCUAUGUACCAUUAUAAUUUGUAUACUAGGUCGGACUAAUUUGAACGAUUACACUACCCGACACGAUUUUUCCUAGCUCAAACUAUUACUCCACUAUGGGUAAAAAUCCCGAAUUUUUGGCAUUUAUGUAAUUUUUGUUGGGUAAAAUAUUUGAAUGCGACUUAAGUUUUCUGAUUCCUAAAUAUCCAGAUAGAACAAAUAUGAUUUUAGAAGAUUUUUACGGACAUUUUUGGCGCUUUCAAAGUCGGCUGAUUUUGAGAUGCUUUCACUUGUGAAAAGGUGCGAGAAAAAUUGAGCAACUUGCAGCUGUAAUUGUAGCGCGAUAACAAAGUUUAUAUGCAAGUAAAAAUAUGGAAAUAACAGGUCGAGGUACUUAAAUUAAAUGUUAGUACAUGUUUUUGUAUAGUUGUGUGUAGUUAUUUAAUUGUCCAAUGUUUUUUUCUGUGUCUUUUUAGCUUGGUAUUAACAGUUGCACGUGUUUUCUGUGGAAUAUUACUUUUGCACACCACACCACCAGGUUCAAGUUACAUGUUAUUAACCAAAUAUUAUAAAAUCUCGUGGUGUUAAUGCGUUUGCCCGAUUUUGACCCUUUUCGAAAAAUUGUAAAUUUUGUAGAUGAGUUUACUCAUGCAGCGCUGUUGGAGGUCUGG
rnacentral:lncRNA from 1 species